UACGUAGGGUCCGAGCGUUGUCCGGAAUUACUGGGCGUAAAGAGCUCGUAGGUGGUUUGUCGCGUUGUUCGUGAAAACUCACAGCUUAACUGUGGGCGUGCGGGCGAUACGGGCAGACUCGAGUGCUGCAGGGGAGACUGGAAUUCCUGGUGUAGCGGUGGAAUGCGCAGAUAUCAGGAGGAACACCGGUGGCGAAGGCGGAUCUCUGGGCCGAUACUGACGCUGAGGAGCGAAAGCGUGGGGAGCGAACAGG
rnacentral:rRNA from 1 species